UGAGUUUGGAUACAAAUAUGUACUAAAUGUGACACAUUUCCCAACCGUGGACAGCACCUCACAGUGACACCUUACAUAAAGGUAUAGUCAAAAACUAUUUUAGAAACUAAAAUCUUUGAGAAGUGCUCAAGGAAACCUUCGUACAUGGGAGGCCAUGCUUCUAGGUUAUGAUAGAUAUCAUAUGGCCACAUAAUUAUCCUUGGUUGCCCAAUAGACC
rnacentral:lncRNA from 1 species